UUUUCUUCUUCAAGGGUUUUGUAUUGUUUUUUUUCAGUAUUUUUAGCAAUAUAUCCGUUGAUGGUGUUUUCUGAUCUGCAUGUGUUGUUGUAUCUCUUCUCACUGUAUUGAUGAUAACUCAAGGCACGUGAUGAUGUUGUGUAUUUAUAAGUUGCAGGUGAUAAGUCAUCGCAAUAAAGGUUUGUUUCUUAUUUUUAUGUGCAAUAGUCUUUCUUUUACUGAUUUUGCUUUGCAAUUGUUGGUGAUAUAAUCAUGGCAGUGAAGGAUGAAACAAAGAAAUAGAAUCACUUUUAGGGUCUUUUUACUUUUUUGUGUGUAGUGAUCUUUGCAACUCUGUUUCUUAUUUUUUUCCCUGUGGUUCCUAUGAUUUUAACCCAGCUAUACGUUUUUUGUUGUUUUGUUGUUAAAGUGUGAUCUAUCAGAUCAUAUAAACUCUAUUAGCUAGGAAAGCAUAUUUUUUUUCUUUUACAGAAGUUUUAUUUAUUUGAUUCUUUCGUUGAUUUUAUAUUUUCGUCGUACCUCGCACCGAGGAAUUACUUUAUUCUAUGAUGAAACAAGAAUAACAAUGGAAGUCAUGAGAAACCAAUUCCCAUAGGAGACCGAUUAAAAAAAAAACUCUCAUCGGAGCCAGAGAAACAAGAUAUUGUAAGGAGAAAGGUGUUUUUCUCACCACAUGCAUAUUUUUCUUCUUAAAAGCUUUUGUAGAUUUAAUCUUACUAUUUUUUUUCUCCAUCUCACUUCUUUCUUGAAUAUCCUACUUCAAAUUGUGAAUACAUAAGAGCAAAUGUGUCGAAAAAGAUUUAUGCAGAAAAAAUCAGGUAACUUGGUGUAAUUUUGUUCAUGGGCGAAAUUGAGAGGCAGAGACGCGGGUUAUAUGCACAAGAGAAGGAACUUAUUGUGGGGGUCGAGAAAUGUCCUAAGCAAGGGCAGAUUGUAUGUUUUUCUUCAGUUUGAAGUUUGAAUUACUUAUUGGAUCGUUUUCUUUACAGAAAUUUGAGUUUUCACAUGAUCUGGUUUGCAUGAAGUAACCGUCGAAUCUUAAAGAGUUCCUAGCAUGUUGGAUUUUGUAAUUUUUUGGUUUCUUAUAUGAUGGGACAUCUUAUACCAUUGCUAUGAUUCAGUUUAAUGAGAAGUGUAAUUGACUGGCAAA